UGUUUUCCCUAAAGGUGACGACAGUUCAUGCGAUGUCUGUGAAGAAAUAGCUCUCAUAUUUACAUUGUAGUUCUCUUCCAGAGAAAGCUUAAGGACAGUGUUAUGAUUUGUGUCUUCUGUUUGCUGGCUUAAUUCUGUAUGGGAUCCCUUUCCCGCUCAGCAUGUGGGAAUCUUGCGGAGAAUGAACCAUUCCCAUAAGUUUUGCUAACAUUUUUGCUUUCUUUCCAGGAGAACAAUAGGAGAGCUCUUUUCCACUAUACUCGGAUUCCAUCAGGCAUCAUUGUACUAUCAUAACAUGUAUGUGUUCACUUUUAAGGACUUGAGGGGCUCAGGAUCAACAAUAAUGGCUGGAAAACCAUAAUAGAGACCUUCACUGGAGUGGUGGAGAAUUAUCAGCGGAGGCACUAACAGGAUAUGAGGGGGAAAACUAGGCUUGGUGCAUCCUCAUAUACUUCACAUCACAUUCCGCAAAUGAAGCAUCAGAAAAGAACAGGUACCCACGCAAAGAAAUCCAGCUUGCAGAAACAAAAUGAGUUCAUUCUCUCUCCUUCAGGGAAUCUGCCCUCCACUCCCACCCA